rnacentral:rRNA from 1 species
UACGUAGGGGGCUAGCGUUGUCCGGAUUUAUUGGGCGUAAAGAGCGUGUAGGCGGCCAGGUAGGUCUGGUGUGAAAACUCGAGGCUCAACCUCGAGAGGUCAUCGGAAACCAUCUGGCUAGAGUCCGGAAGAGGAGAGUGGAAUUCCCGGUGUAGCGGUGAAAUGCGCAGAUAUCGGGAAGAACACCUAUGGCGAAGGCAGCUCUCUGGGACGGUACUGACGCUGAGACGCGAAAGCGUGGGGAGCGAACAGG